rnacentral:rRNA from 1 species
UAAUACGUAGGGGGCAAGCGUUGUCCGGAUUUAUUGGGCGUAAAACGCUCGUAGGUGGCUACGUCAAGUCGGACGUGAAAUCUCCCGGCUUAACUGGGAGAGGUCGCUCGAUACUGGCGAGCUCGAGGCAGGUAGGGGGAAGCGGAAUUCCCGGUGUAGUGGUGGAAUGCGUAGAUAUCGGGAGGAACACCAGUGGCGAAGGCGGCUUCCUGGACCUGAUCUGACACUGAGGAGCGAAAGCGUGGGGAGCGAUCCGGAUUAGAUACCCGGGUAGUCCACGCCGUAAACGGUGAGCACUAGGUGUCGGGGGUAUCGACCCCUCCGGUGCCGCAGCUAACGCAUUAAGUGCUCUGCCUGGGGAGUACGGCCGCAAGGCUA